rnacentral:rRNA from 1 species
AUUGAACGCUGGCGGCAGGCCUAAUACAUGCAAGUCGAGCGGACGAAUGGAGCUCGUGCCUGGAUGCAGCGGCGGACGGGUGAGUAAGGCCUACGAAUCUGCCCGGCAUAGGGGGAUAAGGUCCGGUAACGAGCGCUAAGACCGUAUAGGAUCUGAGGGAGAAAGUGGGGGAUCUUUGGACCUCACGCUAUCAGAUGAGCCUAAGACGGAUUAGCUAGUUGGUGGGGUAAAGGCCUACCAAGGCGACGAUCCGUAACAGUUCUGAGAGGAUGAUCGGCCACACUGGAACUGAGACACGGUCCAGACUCCUACGGGAGGCAGCAGUCGGGAAUCUUGGACAAUGGGCGAAAGCCUGAUGCAGCAAUGCCGCGUGUGUGAAGAAGGUCUUCGGAUUGUAAAGCUCUUUGAGUUGGGAAGAACAGAAGUGAGUUUAAAUCUUGCUGUUUUGACGUUACCUACUGAAUAAGCACCGGCUAACUUCGUG